ACACGCACACACACACACACAGGCACACAUAAACACACAACAAUUGUGCUAUAGAAUAAAUAUCUCAUUUUCAAACAAGCAAUAAAUUCAUGCUUAAUGAAGGGUUUUUUCUUUCCUAUUAAAAAUCCUUUCUCUGAGGAUCCAAGUAACGAACAAGAAUCUACCAAAAGGCCGAGCUGGGACAUCUACUGUGGACUAAAUGUUAGAAUCUGGACAGCAAGCAUUCCCACAGCAGAAACAGAGGCACUGGCUUUAGAACUUCCCAUUCAGUUCCUGAUGAACAGUGGCCUUGACUGACUUUCCCGUGAUCCCAAGACACAAACAAAUAGAAGUAGUGAGUUUGUAUUUACUUACACAUUACAUGCAGUUUACUGCAUUAAAUUCCUAGGAAUUAAAAGCUUAGGCCUCCAAAUUCUUUAUGAGGAAUGACAGAAUUAAGACUUACUAGGCCUCAAUUAUUUGCAACCUGAAUUUUUCCUCUUCUAGAGACAAUUUCAAGUUUACUUUCCCACUGCUUGACUCUCAAUCAUAUAGUCUGAUGAACAACACUAAGUAUCAGCUACUAUUAAACCUCUGUUUCACCAAGGACCUUUUCAAAGUGUUAAUCUCUGCUAGUAAGUAUGAACCUAAGAGCAUAUUAAGAACCCAGUGAAUCAAUCGUGUUUCUGAAGGUCUACCAUACCCCUGCUAUAGACAACUAUUUUGAACACCGGAAUGAUUCUGGGCUCUCUAGAUAUCAUAAUGACCUGGUCAAGUGUUCGUGUGCAGUCGGUGGGAAAAAGGCCUAGUGACUGACGUUAAGGGCAACAAAAAGUCUGUACCAUAUAUACAUCGUAGCAAAUAUUUUAUAUUUGAGAAUCUUUACAGCUUACAUUUCCAUUCCAUUAUUACAAGUGGUGAAAAACAAGAAUUGCAAGUAGCAUGCAAAUUAUAAUACAGUCUUCCCACUUCGCCAACAACAUCCCUACUUUCGAGUGUUCCUUCCCAAUUUUUGCAGGAGCUGCCUGCAAAGCUGAAACUGAUUAGAAAAAUUCUUUAUACUUUAAAAUAUCUCUUUCUCCUUUUAUGAGAAGCCAAAUAGCCAACCAUCAAAAGUAAAAAUAAAUUGAAUCGUCACAGUCCAUUAGUUAUUGUUACUAGGUCCACUUCAUUGGCAGGUGUCCAAAAUAUAAAAUGAAUAAUUCUUUAUCUUCAAAUUCAUCUGUUCUUAAAAUGCUACUUAAAACUUUGGUUGUUUUCCUGUAAUAUAGAAGAAAGACAAUUUAUCAAUUAGUCUAACUGAAUACUGUUUUCACAAAUUAGCUUAUUCAACCAAACACUAUGAAUCUUCUAUCUAAAUGCAUGUUACUAUAGAAACUAUUAAAGUGACUGAAACUAUCAAAUACAUUUGUGUUUCAGUAAGCCUGUGUAAUCCAUUCUUAAAAAUAGUAAGUUGUAUUCCAAGUUGGUUGUUCUGUUUCUGUGGUGCCUAGUUUUAUGUUGUUAAUGUAUAAAGCAAAAGUAAACAAUUCUAAUAUGUUUAUUCAAAAUAAGUGUGCCACGCUUUUAUUAGCAAAAUAAAGUGUCAAUGAAUUAUUUAAGCCUG
rnacentral:lncRNA from 1 species